rnacentral:rRNA from 1 species
CCUACGGGUGGCUGCAGUGGGGAAUAUUGGACAAUGGGGGGAACCCUGAUCCAGCCAUGCCGCGUGUGUGAAGAAGGCCCUCGGGUUGUAAAGCACUUUCAGUGAGGAAGAACGCCUGGUGGUUAAUACCCAUCAGGAAAGACAUCACUCACAGAAGAAGCACCGGCUAACUCCGUGCCAGCAGCCGCGGUAAUACGGAGGGUGCGAGCGUUAAUCGGAAUUACUGGGCGUAAAGCGCGCGUAGGUGGCUUGAUAAGCCGGUUGUGAAAGCCCCGGGCUCAACCUGGGAACGGCAUCCGGAACUGUCAAGCUAGAGUGCAGGAGAGGAAGGUAGAAUUCCCGGUGUAGCGGUGAAAUGCGUAGAGAUCGGGAGGAAUCCCAGUGGCGAAGGCGGCCUUCUGGACUGACACUGACACUGAGGUGCGAAAGCGUGGGUAGCAAACAGGAUUAGAUACCCCUGUAGUC